rnacentral:rRNA from 1 species
GGGAAUCUGCCCUUGGGUUCGGAAUAACAGUGAGAAAUUACUGCUAAUACCGGAUGAUGUCUUCGGACCAAAGAUUUAUCGCCCAGGGAUGAGCCCGCGUAGGAUUAGGUAGUUGGUGGGGUAAUGGCCUACCAAGCCGACGGUCCUUAGCUGGUCUGAGAGGAUGAUCAGCCACACUGGGACUGAGACACGGCCCAGACUCCUACGGGAGGCAGCAGUGGGGAAUAUUGGACAAUGGGCGAAAGCCUGAUCCAGCAAUGCCGCGUGAGUGAUGAAGGCCUUAGGGUUGUAAAGCUCUUUUACCCGGGAUGAUAAUGACAGUACCGGGAGAAUAAGCUCCGGCUAACUCCGUGCCAGCAGCCGCGGUAAUACGGAGGGAGCUAGCGUUGUUCGGAAUUACUGGGCGUAAAGCGCGCGUAGGCGGCUGCUCAAGUCAGAGGUGAAAGCCCGGGGCUCAACCCCGGAACUGCCUUUGAAACUAGGUAGCUAGAAUCUUGGAGAGGUCAGUGGAAUUCCGAGU